ensembl:lncRNA
GGGACUUUAAUAACAACUCAGGCUUUCCAGAUGUAACUUUGAGACAGAGCUUUAUGAGAGUUGCCUUCGAAUUAACAUACUGGAGAAGAGGAGGCACCAAGACUGACAAGAGAGAAACCUCUACAGUAGGCCAAACUUCCUUCCCUUGCUGAUCAACUUACAGUACUGUGUAUUGAACCUAGAGUCUCAAGAAUGCUAGCUAGAGAUUGAACACAAAACCAAGACCAACCUUCUCAUGCCAGAAAUCAAAUAAAAGCUUAAGAAGCUGGACUGUGGGAACAAGUUUUUUAGACCUAAAAAAUGCUGGUUUUACUGUUCACCAUUAUAUUCUAUAUAGUGAAUUGUGCUGUCACAAUUUGGUGUUCAGUGCUUCUACACUACAAAUUUUUAUUGUUUUCCUUGUAGAUUUUUGUUCAUUUUCUAUAAAUAAUGCAACUGCUACAAGUUAUUUUAGAUCCUGUUUAUUGAAGUUUUGCUUAAUGGGUAAAAUUGUUGCUCCAUUUUCUUAGUUAUGAUGAAGUUUGUGAAACAUUGCACUACAGUCUGAUAUCUGAGUACAUUUUGUCACAGUUUGUAUUUGAAGGAAUUCAGUAGUGUGUUCCCCUCUUUCUAGGCUUUAAUCUGUACCGAUUAAUGGUAGUCUUCCUAUUAUCUUGACUUUUCUUGGACUGUCUUUCUCUA